AGAGUUUGAUCCUGGCUCAGGAUGAACGCUGGCGGUAUGCCUAACACAUGCAAGUCGUACGAGAGUUUUUAACUCUAGUGGCGGACGGGUGAGUAACACGUGAGAAUUUGCCUUUAGGAGGGGGACAACAACUCGGAAACGAAUGCUAAUACCCCAUAUGCUUUCGAGUGAAAUGGAUUUUAUCCGCCUAGAGAGAAGCUCGCGGCUGAUUAGCUUGUUGGUAAGGUAAGAGCUUACCAAGGCGACGAUCAGUAUCUGGUUUGAGAGGACGAUCAGACACACUGGAACUGAGACACGGUCCAGACUCCUACGGGAGGCAGCAGUGGGGAAUUUUCCGCAAUGGGCGAAAGCCUGACGGAGCAAUACCGCGUGAGGGAAGAAUGCCUAUGGGUUGUAAACCUCUUUUUUCAGGGAGGAAUCAAAUGACGUGUACCUGAAGAAUAAGCAUCGGCUAACUCCGUGCCAGCAGCCGCGGUAAG
rnacentral:rRNA from 1 species